GGUCCCUGGUGUGCCUUGGUGUCAUCAUCUUGCUGUCUGCCUUCUCCGGACCUGGUGUCAGGGGUGGUCCUAUGCCCAAGCUGGCUGACCGGAAGCUGUGUGCGGACCAGGAGUGCAGCCGUUCAGGGAGAUUACUAUGGAGAUCUGGCUGCUCGCCUGGGCUAUUUCCCCAGUAGCAUUGUCCGAGAGGACCAGACCCUGAAACCUGGCAAAGUCGAUGUGAAGACAGACAAAUGGGAUUUCUACUGCCAGUGAGCUCAGCCUACCGCUGGCCCUGCCGUUUCCCCUCCUUGGCUUUAUGCAAAUACAAUCAGCCCAGUGCAAA
rnacentral:lncRNA from 1 species